rnacentral:tRNA from 1 species
GGGGAGUGAGCUCAGUGUUAAGAGCACUGGACCUUCAGUCCAGAGGUCCCAGGUUCGAUCUCCUGCACCACCA